AGAGUUUGAUCCUGGCUCAGGAUGAACGCUAGCGGCAGGCCUAAUACAUGCAAGUCGAACGGGCUUAUUCCACAAGGGAUAGGCUAGUGGCGCACGGGUGCGUAACACGUAGGUAACCUACCUUGAACUGGGGCAUAACGAUGGGAAACCAUCGCUAAUUCCGCAUGAGACAGUGGAGAGGCAUCUUUCAGCUGUUAAAGAUUAAUUGGUUCAAGAUGGGCCUGCGGCUGAUUAGCUAGUUGGUGGUGUAAGAGACCACCAAGGCGAUGAUCAGUAGGGGUUCUGAGAGGAAGAUCCCCCACACUGGCACUGAGAUACGGGCCAGACUCCUACGGGAGGCAGCAGUAGGGAAUAUUGGGCAAUGGCGGAAACGCUGACCCAGCCAUGCCGCGUGCAGGAAGAAGGCGCUCAGCGUUGUAAACUGCUUUUGCCGGGGAAGAACGAUCUCUACGCGUAGAGAGCAUGACGGUACCUGGUGAAUAAGCACCGGCUAACUCCGUGCCAGCAGCCGCGGUAAUACGGAGGGUGCAAGCGUUGUCCGGAUUUAUUGGGUUUAAAGGGUGCGUAGGUGGCUGGUUAAGUCCGGGGUGAAAGGCAGUGGCUCAACCACUUGCAGGGCCCCGGAUACUGACCGGCUCGAGUGUAGGUGAGGCCGGUGGAACGGGUGGUGUAGCGGUGAAAUGCAUAGAUACCAUCCAGAACACCGAUUGCGGAGGCAGCCGGCUAACCUACUACUGACACUGAGGCACGAAAGCGUGGGGAGCAAACAGGAUUAGAUACCCCCGUAGUCC
rnacentral:rRNA from 1 species